AUCAACGCUGGCGGCGUGCCUAACACAUGCAAGUCGAACGAGAAAGUGGAGCAAUCCAUGAGUAAAGUGGCGACCGGGUGAGUAACACGUGACUAACCUACCUCCGAGUGGGGGAUAACUCCGGGAAACCGGGGCUAAUACCGCAUAACAUCGCAAGAUCAAAGCAGCAAUGCGCUGGGAGAGGGGGUCGCGGCUGAUUAGCUAGUUGGCGGGGGUAACGGCCCACCAAGGCGAAGAUCGGUAUCCGGCCUGAGAGGGCGCACGGACACACUGGAACUGAAACACGGUCCAGACUCCUACGGGAGGCAGCAGUGGGGAAUUUUGCGCAAUGGGGGAAACCCUGACGCAGCAACGCCGCGUGGAGGAUGAAGCCCUUUGGGGCGUAAACUCCUUUCGACCAAGACGAUAAUGACGGUACUGGUGGAAGAAGCACCGGCUAACUCUGUGCCAGCAGCCGCGGUAAUACAGAGGGUGCGAGCGUUGUCGGAAUUAUUGGGCGUAAAGGGCGCGUAGGCGGUGCGGUAAGUCACCUGUGAAAUCUCCCGGCUUAACUGGGAGCCUGCAGGCGAAACUACCGUGCUGGAGUGUGGGAGAGGUGCGUGGAAUUCCCGGUGUGUAGCGGUGAAAUGCGUAGAUAUCGGGAGGAACACCUGUGGCGAAAGCGGCGCACUGGACCAUAACUGACGCUGAGGCGCGAAAGCUAGGGGAGCAAACAGGAUUAGAUACCCUGGUAGUCCUAGCCCUAAACGAUGAUUGCUUGGCUGUAGCAGGUACCCAAUCCUGCUGUGCCGCAGUUAACGCGAUAAGCAAUCCGCCUGGGGAGUACGGUCGCAAGGCUGAAGCUCAAAGGAAUUGACGGGGGGCCCGCACAAGCGGUGGAGCAUGUGGUUCAAUUCGACGCAACGCGAAGAACCUUACCUGGGCUCGAAAUGCAGGAGACCGGGGGUGGAAAACAUCCCUUCCCCUUAAAAGGCUGCUGCAUAGGUGCUGCAUGGCUGUCGUCAGCUCGUGUCGUGAGAUGUUGGGUUAAGUCCCGCAACGAGCGCAACCCUUAUCCCUAGUUGCCAUCGGGUCAAGCCGGGCACUCUAGUGAAACUGCCUCGGAUAACGAGGAGGAAGGUGGGGAUGACGUCAGGUCCUCAUGGCCUUAUGUCCAGGGCUACACACGUGCUACAAUGGUCGGUACAAACCGUCGCAAACCCGUGAGGGGGAGCUAAUCGGAAAAAGCCGGCCUCAGUUCGGAUUGGAGUCUGCAACUCGACUCCAUGAAGCUGGAAUCGCCUAGUAAUCGCGGAUCAGAACGCCGCGGUGAAUACGUUCCCGGGCCUUGUACACACCGCCCGUCACAUCACGAAAGUGGGCCGUACUAGAAGCAGGUGUGCUAACCGCAAGGAGGCAGCCUUCCAAGGUACAGCUCAUGAUUGGGGUG
rnacentral:rRNA from 1 species